rnacentral:rRNA from 1 species
UACGUAGGGGGCAAGCGUUGUCCGGAUUUAUUGGGCGUAAAGAGCUCGUAGGCGGCUCAGUAAGUCAGGUGUGAAAACUCCAGGCUCAACCUGGAGACGCCACCUGAUACUGCUGUGGCUAGAGUCCGGUAGGGGAGCAUGGAAUUCCUGGUGUAGCGGUGAAAUGCGCAGAUAUCAGGAGGAACACCGAUGGCGAAGGCAGGUCACUGGGCCGCAACUGACGCUGAGGAGCGAAAGCAUGGGGAGCGAACAGG